rnacentral:misc_RNA from 1 species
CCUGGUCGUUGCGUUGAUUGUGAUGGAGUAACGUGGCACUGUGCUGUUGCGAGUGUCACUGCUGUGUAUACUGCUUAACUUGAAAGCCUAGUGCACGUGAAUCCGGCUCGAAGGAAAUGUUUGACCAUGUUCGCCGGGAGACGCGGUAUAACGCGUCUACGAGAGUCGUAAGUCAACAACCAGAAAUUUAUAACUAAGCAGUAACUGAAGACUUGAAAGUUUUACAAAUUUUUAAGGAAAAUGUUUACAGAUAUAUGAUGUCAGAUUAUUGAUUAAAUACAGGAUAAACUUGAAAUUAUAUGAGAUCUAUAAAUAUUUUCUUAACCAACGCAAUAAAGGUUCGUGCACAUACAUGGACCAACGAUUCCGUGGAAAGGCAUCAGGUAAGAGAAAAGAGAAGGAAGAGAAGUCCAAAUAAAGAAAAAGAUAAGGGUGAAAUGGGAAAGAAACAAAAGACAAAGAUUAUGAGGGAAACGGGAAUAAAAUAAAUAAUAAUUCUUUUGUAUUUAAUUUGUACUUUACAAUUUGUCCAUCAGGACAUUUGGUAAAUUUUUCUAACUUUAUUGCUAAAUAGCAUGUAGAUGGCUACCUCCAGCAGAAUACCAUCUUCGAGUUUACUUUAUUUCUUUAAUGAGGUCAGUGGGAUGUUUUCUUUUUAGUCUUCUUUUUAUAUGGGUUUUGCUCGUUUCGACAGCCAGCUGGUGAUACGUACUUUGUCCACAAUUAUAUAUCUCAAAAUGCAUUAGCAUC